GUGGGUAUAGCUCAGUGGUAAAGCACAUGCUUGGCAGGCAUGAGGUCCUGGGUUCAAUCCCCAGUACCUCCA
rnacentral:tRNA from 1 species